GUAGGGAAUAUUGGACAAUGGGGGCAACCCUGAUCCAGCGACGCCGCGUGAGUGAUGAAGGCCUUCGGGUCGUAAAGCUCUGUUGCAGGGGAAGAACACAAUGACGGUACCCUGCUAGAAAGGAUCGACUAACUUCGUGCCAGCAGCCGCGGUAAGACGAGGGAUCCUAGCGUUGUUCGGAAUUAUUUGGCGUAAAGCGGGUGCAGGUGGCUUGGUAAGUCAGAUGUGACAGCCUGGGGCUUAACCCCAGAAGUGCAUUUGAUACUGCUGAGCUUGAGUGCUGGAGAGGCUAUUAGAAUUCCUGGUGUAGUGGUGAAAUACGUAGAUAUCAGGAGGAAUACCGGAGGCGAAGGCGGAUAGCUGGCCAGACACUGACACUCAGACCCGAAAGCGUGGGGAUCAAACAGGAUUAGAAACCCUGGUAGUCC
rnacentral:rRNA from 1 species